GACGAACGCUGGCGGCGUGCUUAACACAUGCAAGUCGAACGGAAAGGCCCUGCUUUUGUGGGGUGCUCGAGUGGCGAACGGGUGAGUAACACGUGAGUAACCUGCCCUUGACUUUGGGAUAACUUCAGGAAACUGGGGCUAAUACCGGAUAGGAGCUCCUGCUGCAUGGUGGGGGUUGGAAAGUUUCGGCGGUUGGGGAUGGACUCGCGGCUUAUCAGCUUGUUGGUGGGGUAGUGGCUUACCAAGGCUUUGACGGGUAGCCGGCCUGGGAGGGUGACCGGCCACAUGGGGACUGAGAUACGGCCCAGACUCCUACGGGAGGCAGCAGUGGGGAAUAUUGCACAAUGGGCGGAAGCCUGAUGCAGCAACGCCGCGUUCGGGAUGACGGCCUUCGGGGUGUAAACCGCUUUCGCCUGUGACGAAGCGUGAGUGACGGUAAUGGGUAAAGAAGCACCGGCUAACUACGUG
rnacentral:rRNA from 1 species